rnacentral:rRNA from 1 species
UACUGCCUAGUAGUGGGGAAUAACCAGUCGAAAGACUGGCUAAUGCCGCAUACGACCUUAUUUCGUAUUGGAAUUGGUGAAAGCGGGGGAUCGUAAGACCUCGCGCUAAUAGAUGAGCCGAAGUCGGAUUAGCUAGUUGGUGAGGUAACGGCUCACCAAGGCGACAAUCCGUAGCUGGUCUGAGAGGACGACCAGCCACACUGGGACUGAGACACGGCCCAG